rnacentral:lncRNA from 1 species
CCGUGUCAAGGAGGUGGACGAGCACGUCCGUCGCUACAUGGAGGCGUUGGAUGCCAGGUUCUCCAGUACCUGACAGGUUCUUCAGGGAUCUCACCCGAGCUAUGAUCCGGUGAUGGUCCCUGCUUUUGGGUGUCCACCGCCCACGCCUCAGUAUAGCGACGACUCUUUGUUGGUUGAUCAAUUAUAUAUUAUUCGAUGUAUUACUGUAUGCGAGAGAUGUAUUAUUUAUGUAUUCCAGAUUAUAUAUUCGAUAAUAUUAAGUGGAUUAUUC